rnacentral:rRNA from 1 species
UACGUAGGUGGCGAGCGUUGUCCGGAUUUACUGGGCGUAAAGAGCGCGCAGGCGGCUGGUCAAGUCCGAUGUGAAAGCUCCCGGCUUAACUGGGAAAUUGCAUCGGAAACUGAUCGGCUGGAAGGUGGGAGAGGGUAGCGGAAUUCCCGGUGUAGUGGUGAAAUGCGUAGAUAUCUGGAGGAACACCGGUGGCGAAGGCGGCAUCCUGGACCGGUAUUGACGCUGAGGCGCGAAAGCCAGGGGAGCAAACGGG